AAGCAGGGGAUCGCAAGACCUUGCGCUUUUGGAGCGGCCGAUGCCUGAUUAGCUAGUUGGUGGGGUAAGGGCCUACCAAGGCGACGAUCAGUAGUUGGUCUGAGAGGACGACCAGCCACACUGGGACUGAGACACGGCCCAGACUCCUACGGGAGGCAGCAGUGGGGAAUUUUGGACAAUGGGCGGAAGCCUGAUCCAGCAAUGCCGCGUGAGUGAAGAAGGCCUUCGGGUUGUAAAGCUCUUUCAGUCGAGAAGAAAAGGUUGCGACUAAUAAUCGCAACUUAUGACGGUAUCGACAGAAGAAGCACCGGCUAACUACGUGCCAGCAGCCGCGGUAAUACGUAGGGUGCGAGCGUUAAUCGGAAUUACUGGGCGUAAAGGGUGCGCAGGCGGCUCUGUAAGUCAGAUGUGAAAUCCCCGGGCUUAACCUGGGAAUUGCGUUUGAAACUACAAAGCUAGAGU
rnacentral:rRNA from 1 species